AUAUUUAUUAUCAUUUUUUUUUUUCUCUAGAUACUUGUUUGUGUUCUGGCCUUACUGAAGACCGAUAAAGAUUUGGAAGUCCGAAGAUGUGCAGUGAUGGUCAUUACUCUCUUAUUUCGAGGAAUUGGAAAUGAUUUGCUUAAGGUGUUAGAAAAAGAAAUAAAAAGCCUCUAUAUACAAUUGAAAAUUGUGUACAGCACAGAAGCUGAUGAUGUUUUGCGUCUCCAUUCGCAGCUAGCAUUGGAAGAAAUAAAUGUGGUGAUGAAGGAACUCUUGUUAACAAAGCUGCCUUUAAAGAAAGAAAUUCGAAUUUUACAGUAACUGUAAUGCAAUGUUUUUGAUGUGUUUAAAAAUUUGUAAUAAAAAACAAAUUAAA